rnacentral:tRNA from 2 species
GCGGGUAUAGUUUAGUGGUAAAACCUUAGCCUUCCAAGCUAG